UGCUUUGUCUUGAUGUUCCACAGGGCAAGUCAAUCCUUUUGGAGUUCCAGUCUCUGCCCAUGCUGGGAAGUUCUAUGACACGUCUCCCAGAGAUCACCUCUGCAGCAAGAGGAAAAAUGACAUUCUAGAUUACACUUGCUGUGAGAAAGUACUACAUGAAGGGGUGGGGUUGUCCUGCUGUGGAAACAGGGCCUUCAACCUCAUCCAGGCUUCCUGUUGUAAAGGUCAGCUGACUCUUAAUGUGAGCCAGCUGGUGUCAGAUUGCUGUGGGUUUCAGGCCUAUGACCCACUCAACCAGCUGUGCUGUGACUCUCAGAUCCUAACCAGGACCCAACCCCAUUCCAAGUGUUGUGGACAAGACCUUUAUGAUGAAGACCACCAGCUUUGCUGUGGAAAUGGCCAAGGAAGGAAGGUCCUGGCCAAAAUGUCCGGUCAUCACCGGUGUUGUGGAGAGCACCAGUUUGACCAGCGAAGCCACUGCUGCUGCUUUGAUUCUGGACUACUAACCCUAGAGCCUCUCAAUGCAAGCUGCUGUGCAUCAUCAGGGUCGAAAGUUUUUCAGCACAGGGCAAUAGCUCCAAAUCCUCCAAACUGUAUGCCUGGGGAGAAGCCUUAUGGUCUAGGUGCCUGUUUCAACCCAACAACAGAGUGUUGCUGUGUGAACCCUACAUCUCACCAGGGUCAAAGCUACUCUCAUGACCAGACCUGCUGUGAGGGAACACUAUGCCAC